rnacentral:rRNA from 1 species
UACGUAGGUGGCAAGCGUUUGUCCGGAUUUAUUGGGUUUAAAGGGUGCGUAGGCGGCUUAUUAAGUCAGUGGUGAAAUACUCUAGCUCAACUAGAGGGGGUGCCAUUGAUACUGAUGAGCUUGAGUACAGAUGAGGUAGGCGGAAUUGACGGUGUAGCGGUGAAAUGCUUAGAUAUCGUCAAGAACACCUAUAGCGAAGGCAGCUUACUAGGCUGUAACUGACGCUGAGGCACGAAAGUGUGGGGAUCAAACAGG